UACGAAGGGGGCUAGCGUUGCUCGGAAUCACUGGGCGUAAAGCGCACGUAGGCGGAUUGUUAAGUCAGGGGUGAAAUCUUGGAGCUCAACUCCAGAACUGCCUUUGAUACUGGCGAUCUUGAGUCCGGGAGAGGUGAGUGGAACUGCGAGUGUAGAGGUGAAAUUCGUAGAUAUUCGCAAGAACACCAGUGGCGAAGGCGGCUCACUGGCCCGGUACUGACGCUGAGGUGCGAAAGCGUGGGGAGCAAACAGG
rnacentral:rRNA from 1 species